GACGAACGCUGGCGGCGUGCUUAGCACAUGCAAGUCGAACGGAAAGGCCCUGCUUUUGUGGGGUGCUCGAGUGGCGAACGGGUGAGUAACACGUGAGUAACCUGCCCUUGACUUUGGGAUAACUUCAGGAAACUGGGGCUAAUACCGGAUAGGAGCUCCUGCUGCAUGGUGGGGGUUGGAGAGUUUCGGCGGUUGGGGAUGGACUCGCGGCUUAUCAGCUUGUUGGUGGGGUAGUGGCUUACCAAGGCUUUGACGGGUAGCCGGCCUGAGAGGGUGACCGGCCACAUUGGGACUGAGAUACGGCCCAGACUCCUACGGGAGGCAGCAGUGGGGAAUAUUGCACAAUGGGCGGAAGCCUGAUGCAGCAACGCCGCGUGCGGGAUGACGGCCUUCGGGUUGUAAACCGCUUUCGCCUGUGACGAAGCGUGAGUGACGGUAAUGGGUAAAGAAGCACCGGCUAACUACGUG
rnacentral:rRNA from 1 species